rnacentral:rRNA from 1 species
GACGGGGGAUGCGAGCGUUAAUCGGAAUUACUGGGCGUAAAGCGUGCGUAGACGGUAGCGUAAGUCGGGUGUGAAAGCCCCGGGCUCAACCUGGGAAUUGCAUUCGAGACUGCUCUGCUAGGGUGCGGAAGAGGGGAGCGGAAUUUCCGGUGUAGCGGUGAAAUGCGUAGAUAUCGGAAGGAACACCAGUGGCGAAAGCGGCUCCCUGGUCCAGCACCGACGUUCAGGCACGAAAGCGUGGGGAGCAAACAGG